rnacentral:rRNA from 1 species
CCUACGGGUGGCAGCAGUGAGGAAUAUUGGUCAAUGGGCGGAAGCCUGAACCAGCCAAGUAGCGUGCAGGAUGACGGCCCUACGGGUUGUAAACUGCUUUUAUACGGGAAUAACGCGCCUUACGUGUAGGGCUUUGCAUGUACCGUAUGAUUAAGGACCGGCUAAUUCCGUGCCAGCAGCCGCGGUAAUACGGAGGGUCCGGGCGUUAUCCGGAUUUAUUGGGUUUAACGGGAGCGUAGACGGCAUGUCAAGCGUGCUGUGAAAUGUCCGGGCUCAACCCGGGACUUGCAGCGCGAACUGGAGUGCUUGAGUGCGCGGAAGGCAGGCGGAAUUCGUCGUGUAGCGGUGAAAUGCUUAGAUAUGACGAAGAACCCCGAUUGCGAAGGCAGCUUGCUGCAGCGGAACUGACGCUGAUGCUCGAAAGCGUGGGUAUCGAACAGGAUUAGAUACCCGUGUAGUC